rnacentral:piRNA from 1 species
UCAGAACUAUGCGUUUUGCGGUGGU